rnacentral:rRNA from 1 species
AUUGAACGCUGGCGGCAGGCUUAACACAUGCAAGUCGAGCGGGGGAAGGUAGCUUGCUACCGGACCUAGCGGCGGACGGGUGAGUAAUGCUUAGGAAUCUGCCUAUUAGUGGGGGACAACAUCUCGAAAGGGAUGCUAAUACCGCAUACGUCCUACGGGAGAAAGCAGGGGAUCUUCGGACCUUGCGCUAAUAGAUGAGCCUAAGUCGGAUUAGCUAGUUGGUGGGGUAAAGGCCUACCAAGGCGACGAUCUGUAGCGGGUCUGAGAGGAUGAUCCGGCACACUGGGACUGCGACACGGCCCAGAAUCCUACGGGAGGCAGCAGUGGGGAAUAUUGGACAAUGGGGGGAACCCUGAUCCAGUCAUGCCGCGUGUGUGAAGAAGGCCUUAUGGUUGUAAAGCACUUUAAGCGAGGAGGAGGCUACUUUAGUUAAUACCUAGAGAUAGUGGACGUUACUCGCAGAAUAAGCACCGGCUAACUCUGUGCCAGCCGCCGCCGUAA